CCGGGCGACGGUUGUCCCGGUUUAAGCGUGUAGGUGUGUGUUCCAGGUAAAUCCGGUUCACUUUAACACUGAGGCGUGAUGACGAGGCACUACGGUGCUGAAGCAACAAAUGCCCUGCUUCCAGGAAAAGCCUCUAAGCAUCAGGUAACAUCAAAUCGUACCCCAAACCGACACAGGUGGUCAGGUAGAGAAUACCAAGGCGCUUGAGAGAACUCGGGUGAAGGAACUAGGCAAAAUGGUGCCGUAACUUCGGGAGAAGGCACGCUGACACGUAGGUGAAGUGAUUUACUCAUGGAGCUGAAGUCAGUCGAAGAUACCAGCUGGCUGCAACUGUUUAUUAAAAACACAGCACUGUGCAAACACGAAAGUGGACGUAUACGGUGUGACGCCUGCCCGGUGCCGGAAGGUUAAUUGAUGGGGUCAGCGCAAGCGAAGCUCCUGAUCGAAGCCCCGGUAAACGGCGGCCGUAACUAUAACGGUCCUAAGGUAGCGAAAUUCCUUGUCGGGUAAGUUCCGACCUGCACGAAUGGCGUAAUGAUGGCCAGGCUGUCUCCACCCGAGACUCAGUGAAAUUGAACUCGCUGUGAAGAUGCAGUGUACCCGCGGCAAGACGGAAAGACCCCGUGAACCUUUACUAUAGCUUGACACUGAACAUUGAGCCUUGAUGUGUAGGAUAGGUGGGAGGCUUUGAAGUGUGGACGCCAGUCUGCAUGGAGCCGGCCUUGAAAUACCACCCUUUAAUGUUUGAUGUUCUAACGUGGACCCGUGAUCCGGGUUGCGGACAGUGUCUGGUGGGUAGUUUGACUGGGGCGGUCUCCUCCUAAAGAGUAACGGAGGAGCACGAAGGUUGGCUAAUCCUGGUCGGACAUCAGGAGGUUAGUGCAAUGGCAUAAGCCAGCUUGACUGCGAGCGUGACGGCGCGAGCAGGUGCGAAAGCAGGUCAUAGUGAUCCGGUGGUUCUGAAUGGAAGGGCCAUCGCUCAACGGAUAAAAGGUACUCCGGGGAUAACAGGCUGAUACCGCCCAAGAGUUCAUAUCGACGGCGGUGUUUGGCACCUCGAUGUCGGCUCAUCACAUCCUGGGGCUGAAGUAGGUCCCAAGGGUAUGGCUGUUCGCCAUUUAAAGUGGUACGCGAGCUGGGUUUAGAACGUCGUGAGACAGUUCGGUCCCUAUCUGCCGUGGGCGCUGGAGAACUGAGGGGGGCUGCUCCUAGUACGAGAGGACCGGAGUGGACGCAUCACUGGUGUUCGGGUUGUCAUGCCAAUGGCACUGCCCGGUAGCUAAAUGCGGAAGAGAUAAGUGCUGAAAGCAUCUAAGCACGAAACUUGCCCCGAGAUGAGUUCUCCCUGAGACUUAGAGUCUCCUGAAGGAACGUUGAAGACGACGACGUUGAUAGGCCGGGUGUGUAAGCGCAGCGAUGCGUUGAGCUAACCGGUACUAAUGAACCGUGAGGCUUAACC
rnacentral:rRNA from 1 species